AAAAGAACAUUUCUUGCACACAAGGAUGUUUCUCUGAUUCCUCAAAAGGAACGGACCCAGGGACAAAAUGGUUUCUAAGCUGAUAAGGAAGUUCUCAAAACAAAGUCUUAGCUGCAGCAAAUAAGUUAAAGAAAAGGUUAUCUCGCCCCGCGCCUGCGCACUGUAUAGUUGCUGAAUCAUAGUGCUUGGCAACUUGCCCUGUAGAUUGUUGUGCAAAAGAUAUAAAGUAAAGCAGCUGCGAGAAGUCAGAGGAAAAAGUAGAAAGAUUCAAACCACUCUGUAGGGUUGGUGUUUCAUUCCGUCGCUAGCAUCUGGUGCCCAGCGAGGGGCACAACAGAACCGAAAGGGGAUCUUAUUUUCUUUAGGAACAACGCUCACCAUCUCGUUGGAAAACUUGCAGCCACUGCUCAGAUUCCUCGAGCUCUCCCAUUGAAAUGGUUAACUGAUGUCCCUAAAUGGGUUGAGCAGUGGCCGCUUCCAAAAGUGAAGCUCGAGGCUUUAGAACAAUUAGUAGAAGAACAGCUUCAAUCUGGCCAUAUUGAACCUUCCACGUCUCCUUGGAAUUCCCGCUUUUGUCAUCAAGAAAAAAAUCUGGUAAAUGGAGAAUGUUGACUGAUUUAAGGGAAGUUAACAAAUGUAUAGAGCCUAUGGGAGCUUUGCAAUUAGGUCUCCCUUCUCCUGCCUUGAUUCCACAGAAUUGGUCUUUGAUGGUUUUAGAUUUGAAGGAUUGCUUUUUUACUAUUCCUUUGCAAAUAAAAGAUAGAAAUAAAUUUGCUUUUACUAUUCCAGUGUAUAAUCAUGGGCAGCCCGUAAAAUGUUAUCAAUGGACAGUGUUGCCUCAAGGAAUGAUUAAUAGCCCUACACUUUGUCAGCAGUUUGUUGAUCGUGCUCUUAUCACUGUGAGGCAACAAUUUUCUAAUUGUCUUCUCUAUCAUUAUAUGGACGGGAAACUACUUUGAAUAUUAAUGAUCCUAGAGGGCUGUUUCAAGUUCAUUUGCAUAUUAAUAGAUCUUACUCUGCUAUAGCAUGUGUAAAAUUUCCUUAUUCUUUACUGUAUGGGCAAUGGAUUUGGAAUGAAAUUUUGGGAGUUAUAUCAUGUUCUGAUUGUAACUUGACUCAAUGUAUAAACCGUUCCUGGUGGGAAAAUGUUGAAGACAAGAUGGUCCAUUCCAGUAAUCACUCUUCGGUCACUGUGAAAGCACAGACUGACUCUGGUUGCCUGUUAAUCUUACUCGGCCUUGGUCGGACUCUUUUGCUGUCGCUCCUCUUGUGAAUGCUGUACAAACUCUUCUCCAUUGAUCUCGAAGAAUGCUUGGCAUCGUCAUCGCAUCAAUUCUUGCCGUGGCUUCAGUAACAGCAACAGCAACUGUAGCAGGUCUUGCUUUGCAUCAGGGAAUACAGACUGCUGAUUUUGUCAGGGAGUGGCAUAAAGAUGCUCAUUUAUUGUGGCAACAACAGCAUGAUUUGGACGCUCAAUUGGCUACUGAUGUAUUAAAUUUACAACACACUGUUUCCUGGUUAGGAGAUCAAGUGACUGUGUUAGCUACAAGGAGUGUGUUAAAAUGUGACUGGAACUCAUCUCACUUAUGCGUAACCCCAUUCCCUUUAAUAUGAGUGAGGGUUGGGAAAAGGUGAAAAGGUCUUUGAUGGGACACCAGAAUUUAACUGCUGAAAUUAUGGAAUUGGAACAAACUAUAUUGUCAACUUUUACUAAGACGCUGCCUGAUAUUCUUGGUUCUGAUAUACUAAAGAGUCUUCAAGAAGGAUUAGAUAACCUCAGUCCUUUAGGGCACGUAUCUACAUUGUUAACAACAUCCUUUGUGAAUACUUUGUUAA